rnacentral:Y_RNA from 1 species
GGCUGGUCCAAGUGCGGUGGUAUUUACAACUAAUUGAUCACAACCAGUUACAGAUUCCUUUGUUCCUUCUCCACUCCCACUGCUUCACUAGGCUAACCUUAA